CAGUAGGGAAAUAUAGGCCUCUCAAAAAGGCCAAAAAACAGCGAGCGAGCUUUAGAGUUCUCCAGAACUUUUGGGCGAGGAAGGAAAGGAAAAGGAUCCGGCCCCAUUCGAUAUUUUCGAUAUUAACAAGCCGCGCGCGCCACACCGUCGCUUGAGGUGCUUGCUGUUCACCUCAGAGCGAGCCCUUACCUUAUCCCUCCCACCCACAAGGAGCGCCCUGUAAUCUUAACAGGAAUAUGGAAAGAUCAAGUGGCUGCCUGAUGCACUUAAGACUCAUGGCUGCAAAUGGGAUCGCUCCUGGCCACUUCCAAGAAUCCUAAACUAACUGUAUCCAUGUACUUUCUACGUACGUGAAUGAUAUGCCAGCAAACAGCCCUGCCCCUAGUGAUCUGAGUUCCUCAGACAGUGGUGCAGAAUAAGCUACCGUAUACAUCAUGGAGACUACAACUUAAAGCGGUUUUGGAAGGAUCAGAUAGAUGCCCGGGAGGAAUCGGGAAAGGAGGAGCAGCCGAGAGAUACCACGAGAGAAGAGCCCAGCAGCCAUACACCGCGCACCGAACGGGGAUUAAAUUAGUUUGCCUUGGCCAAUCGGAGCGCGCCGGCGGGGGAUUAUUUGCAUGGCGCACUGAGGAGUGACGUCCGGAGGCUGAUGAGUGUCCUAUUGCUAACUGGUCAUGUGAAGUGGUGGAACUGCUGUGGAAAGAAGGCUUCUUUCAUACAAAAGAUUAUGAAAUGAAUCACACACUCACAGGCCAGACAAGCUGGCAACACAACAAAUAAUGGCGGAAAGCGCUCCACCAUUGAAAACCACACUAGUAAUCUUCGAAACAAUAUUGUUACAAGUUAAGUACUCCCUGUUGCCUCCAGCAGACAGGGUCUCCUUUCAAGAGGAUCUUGCUCAACUUUGAAUGGAAAACGUCUGAAAUGUUGACAGCACAGAACAUUAAGGUUUCAGAGCAAAACAAAUGAAACCGGACCGUGUCAUUUUGCAAUAAAACACGAAGUUGUGUAAUAGUGCCUUUUUAAAGCCACUUGCACAUUUCAAGACUUCAAAUAAAAUGCUAUUAACACAGACAGAUAAACAGGCUAAGCCAUUAUUUGCCUGGGGUGAUACCCUUGUGAUUUACAACAGGCAAAGAAAAUAUAGUAGCAUAGCUGUUCAAAAUUGAAUGAUAUCAGUACCAAAAUAAUCCUUUCAUAGAGCUAUAAGGGCCUUUGAUAAGAAAUUCAAAAAAAUUGCAUGUUUUUUCAAAGCAAAUCCAGUCACAUGCAAGUGCCUAUUAUACAAUCCAAUUACUUUUUAAAGUGCGCCUGUAAAGUUACUUUUAGUUUGACCAUCAAACAGGAAGCCUUCACAGACGUUAACGCAGCAGUCGGUUCCUAACACUCCCUCACACUUUAGUACAGGCACCCCCAACCUGUGGCCCUCCAGAUGUUUUGGCCUACAACUCCCAUGAUCCCUAGCUAACAGGACUAGUG